GGUAGUGUGGCUGAGCGGUCUGAGGUGCUGGAUUUUAGGCUCCAGUCCUUUCGGAGGCAUGGGUUCAAAUUCCGCUGCUGCCA
rnacentral:tRNA from 1 species